rnacentral:piRNA from 1 species
AAGCAAGCACCUGCCACUCUGAG